ensembl:snoRNA Snora30 small nucleolar RNA, H/ACA box 30
GUAGCAUUUUCACAGGUCCUCCCUCAAGCAGUGGGGCCAGGAUUUGGUACCUGGUGCUGAGAGAAAACUCUUGAUUACAUCCUUGCCCUGAGAAUGUAACAGUGGCCCCUGUAAUUCCAGGGGACAGAG